rnacentral:rRNA from 1 species
AUUGAACGCUGGCGGCAGGCCUAACACCUGCAAGUCGAACGAGUGGCGGACGGGUGAGUAAUGUCUGGGAAACUGCCUGAUGGAGGGGGAUAACUACUGGAAACGGUAGCUAAUACCGCAUACCAUCGGAUGUGCCCAGAUGGGAUUAGCUAGUAGGUGGGGUAACGGCUCACUGAGGCGACGAUCCCUAGCUGGUCUGAGAGGAUGACCAGCCACACUGGAAUGGCGACACGGUCCAGACUCCUACGUGAGGCAGCAGUGGGGAAUAUUGCACAAUGGGCUCAAGCCUGAUGCAGCCAUGCCGCGUGUAGGAAGAAGGCCUUCGGGUUGUAAAGUACUGUCAGCGGGGAGGCGUUACCCGCAGAAGAAGCACCGGCUAACUCCGUGCCAGCAGCCGCGGUAAUUC